AACGCACCUUGCGCUCCCUGGUAUUCCGGGGAGCACGCCUGUUCGAGUGUCAUGAAACUCUCAAACAAAGUAGAUUUGUUUCUACCUCUGUUUGGAUUUGGACUCUGCUGCGUCAAUGCGGCUGGUCUUAAAUAUAUUAGCUGAUCCUAGCGAAGGUUUGGUUCUACUCAGCAUGAUAAUUAUCUGAUGUUGAGGACAGUCUUAGGACUGGCCAGGCUCUCUAUGGAUUGCUUCUAAUCGUCUUUGGACAAUCAUUCAAUAUCUGACCUCGAAUCAGGUGGGACUACCCGCUGAACUUAA
rnacentral:misc_RNA from 3 species